AUUGAACGCUGGCGGCAUGCCUUACACAUGCAAGUCGAACGGUAACGCGGGGCAACCUGGCGACGAGUGGCGAACGGGUGAGUAAUGUAUCGGAACGUGCCCAGUUGUGGGGGAUAACUGCUCGAAAGAGCAGCUAAUACCGCAUACGACCUGAGGGUGAAAGCGGGGGAUCGCAAGACCUCGCGCAAUUGGAGCGGCCGAUAUCAGAUUAGGUAGUUGGUGGGGUAAAGGCCCACCAAGCCAACGAUCUGUAGCUGGUCUGAGAGGACGACCAGCCACACUGGGACUGAGACACGGCCCAGACUCCUACGGGAGGCAGCAGUGGGGAAUUUUGGACAAUAGACGCAAGUCUGAUCCAGCCAUGCCGCGUGCGGGAAGAAGACCUUCGGGUCGUAAACCGCUUAUGUCAGGGAAGAAACGCUCUGGGUUAAUACCUCGGGGUAAUGACGGUACCUGAAGAAUAAGCACCGGCUAACUACGUGCCAGCCGCCGCGGUAAUAC
rnacentral:rRNA from 1 species